AACUGAUACUACCUGCGGGAACCUGCGGAAGGAUCAUUACCGAGUUUACAACUCCCAAACCCAAUGUGAACGUUACCAAACUGUUGCCUCGGCGGGAUCUCUGCCCCGGGUGCGUCGCAGCCCCGGACCAAGGCGCCCGCCGGAGGACCAACCAAAACUCUUUUGUAUACCCCCUCGCGGGUUUUUAUAUCUGAGCCAUCUCGGCGCCUCUCGUAGGCGUUUCGAAAAUGAAUCAAAACU
rnacentral:misc_RNA from 1 species